UACGUAGGUGGCAAGCGUUGUCCGGAUUUACUGGGCGUAAAGAGCGCGCAGGCGGUCGUUCAAGUCGCGUGUGAAAGCCCCCGGCUCAACUGGGGAGGGUCACGCGAUACUGAUCGACUCGAAGGCAGGAGAGGGUAGUGGAAUUCCCGGUGUAGUGGUGAAAUGCGUAGAUAUCGGGAGGAACACCAGUGGCGAAGGCAGCUUGCUGGGCCUUUUCUGACGCUGAGGUACGAAAGCGUGGGGAGCGAACAGG
rnacentral:rRNA from 1 species